CCGAGUGAGGGCCCUCUGGGUCCAACCUCCCACCCGUGUUUAUCGUACCUUGUUGCUUCGGCGGGCCCGCCGCAAGGCCGCCGGGGGGCUCCCGUCCCCGGGCCCGCGCCCGCCGAAGACACCUGUGAACGCUGUAUGAAGAUUGCAGUCUGAGCGAAAAGCUAAAUCGUUA
rnacentral:misc_RNA from 1 species